GCAGCGAAAGGUGCUUGCACCUUUCAAGCGAGUGGCGAACGGGUGAGUAACACGUGGAUAACCUGCCUCAAGGCUGGGGAUAACAUUUGGAAACAGAUGCUAAUACCGAAUAAAACUUAGUAUCGCAUGAUACAAAGUUGAAAGGCGCUACGGCGUCACCUAGAGAUGGGUCCGCGGUGCAUUAGUUAGUUGGUGGGGUAAAGGCCUACCAAGACAAUGAUGCAUAGCCGAGUUGAGAGACUGAUCGGCCACAUUGGGACUGAGACACGGCCCAAACUCCUACGGGAGGCUGCAGUAGGGAAUCUUCCACAAUGGGCGAAAGCCUGAUGGAGCAACGCCGCGUGUGUGAUGAAGGCUUUAGGGUCGUAAAGCACUGUUGUAUGGGAAGAAAUGCUAGAAUAGGGAAUGAUUCUAGUUCGACGGUACCAUACCAGAAAGGGACGGCUAAAUACGUGCCAGCAGCCGCGGUAAUACGUAUGUCCCGAGCGUUAUCCGGAUUUAUUGGGCGUAAAGCGAGCGCAGACGGUUGAUUAAGUCUGAUGUGAAAGCCCGGAGCUCAACUCCGGAAUGGCAUUGGAAACUGGUUAACUUGAGUGUUGUAGAGGUAAGUGGAACUCCAUGUGUAGCGGUGGAAUGCGUAGAUAUAUGGAAGAACACCAGUGGCGAAGGCGGCUUACUGGACAACAACUGACGUUGAGGCUCGAAAGUGUGGGUAGCAAACAGGAUUAGAUACCCUGGUAGUCCACACCGUAAACGAUGAAUACUAGGUGUUAGGAGGUUUCCGCCUCUUAGUGCCGAAGCUAACGCAUUAAGUAUUCCGCCUGGGGAGUACGACCGCAAGGUUGAAACUCAAAGGAAUUGACGGGGACCCGCACAAGCGGUGGAGCAUGUGGUUUAAUUCGAAGCAACGCGAGACCUUACAAGGUCUUGACAUCCUUUGAAGCUUUAGAGAUAGAAUGUG
rnacentral:rRNA from 1 species